rnacentral:misc_RNA from 1 species
GAUGAAGAACGUAGCGAAAUGCGAAAAGUAAUGUGAAUUGCAGAAUUCAGUGAAUCAUCGAAUCUUUGAACGCACAUUGCGCCCGCUGGAACUCCGGCGGGCACGCCUGUCCGAGCGUCAUUUCAACCACCCAGGCCCCUCUCUGCGGACCUGUUGUUGGGGUUCGCCGCCUCCCCCGGCGGCCGUCCCCUAAAUGCAUUGACGAUCACGCCGCGAUCCCCUGCGUAGUAACACACCUCGCACCGGAUAGCGACGCGAACCCGCCAUCAAACCCCCAAUUUUUAAUGGUUGACCUCGGAUCAGGUGGGAAUACCCGCUGAACUUAAGCAUAUCAAUAAGCGGAGGA